rnacentral:tRNA from 1 species
GGCCGGUUAGCUCAGUCAGUAGAGCAUAGCACUAAGAACGCUAAGGUCAUGGGCUCGAUUCCCUUCCGGUUC